rnacentral:rRNA from 1 species
AGUGAACGCUGGCGGCAGGCCUAACACAUGCAAGUCGAGCGGCAGCGGGUCCUUCGGGAUGCCGGCGAGCGGCGGACGGGUGAGGAAUGCGUCGGAAUCUGCCUUUUUGUGGGGGAUAACGUAGGGAAACUUACGCUAAUACCGCAUACGACCUACGGGUGAAAGUGGGGGACCGCAAGGCCUCACGCAGAAAGAUGAGCCGACGUCGGAUUAGCUAGUUGGCGGGGUAAAGGCCCACCAAGGCGACGAUCCGUGGCUGGUCUGAGAGGAUGAUCAGCCACACUGGAACUGAGACACGGUCCAGACUCCUACGGGAGGCAGCAGUGGGGAAUAUUGGACAAUGGGCGCAAGCCUGAUCCAGCCAUGCCGCGUGUGUGAAGAAGGCCUUCGGGUUGUAAAGCACUUUUGUCCGGAAAGAAAUCCUGUCGGCUAAUACCCGGCGGGGAUGACGGUACCGGAAGAAUAAGCACCGGCUAACUUCGUG